rnacentral:rRNA from 1 species
AGGACGAACGCUGGCGGCGUGCUUAACACAUGCAAGUCGAGCGGACAUCUUCGGAUGUUAGCGGCGAACGGGUGAGUAACACGUGGGCAACCUGCCCCUAGCUCUGGGAUAACUCCGGGAAACCGGGGCUAAUACUGGAUAUGACCGAUCCGUGCAUGUGGGUUGGUGGAAAGUUUUUCGGCUAGGGAUGGGCCCGCGGCCUAUCAGCUUGUUGGUGGGGUGAUGGCCUACCAAGGCGACGACGGGUA